UCAUGCAACUCCCACCGUUCCGUCUCAUGACUUGUGCCGUCACUCUCAUAUUGGCAUUGCAUGAUCGUAAGAUAGCUAGCGAGAUGUUUCAACGUCAUACGCCAUGCUAGAUCGUUGCACAUCCCGGUACACUGCCGGAGGUAUUUCCUAUGGAGUCAUCAUCAUUGUGAGCUUUGAGCUGUGAGUAAAUAAAAGUGUGAUGAUCAUCACUAUUAGAGAAUUGUCCCAUGUGAGGAAAUAAAAAAAA
rnacentral:lncRNA from 1 species